AAGCUUCGGUGGUAUAGGAUUGGCUCGCGUGACAUUAGCCAGAUGGUGAGGUAACGGCUCACCAUAGCAAUGAUGUCUAGGGGUUUUGAGAGGAAGGCCCCCCACACUGGGACUGAGACACGGCCCAGACUCCUACGGGAGGCAGCAGUGAGGAAUAUUGGACAAUGGAUGGAAAUCUGGUCCAGCCAUGCCGCGUGCAGGAAGACGGCCUUAUGGGUUGUAAACUGCUUUUAUACGGGAGCAAUAAGGGUUACGAGUAAUCCGAUGAGAGUACUGUAUGAAUAAGGAUCGGCUAACUCCGUGCCAGCAGCCGCGGUAAUACGGAGGAUCCGAGCGUUAUCCGGAAUUAUUGGGUUUAAAGGGUGCGUAGGCGGCCAUUUAAGUCAGCGGUGAAAUUUUGCAGCUUAACUGUAACAGUGCCGUUGAUACUGUUUGGCUAGGAUUUGGUUGUAGUGUGCGGAAUGUGUGGUGUAGCGGUGAAAUGCUUAGAUAUCACACAGAACACCGAUUGCGAAGGCAGCACACUAAGUCAUUAUUGACGCUGAGGCACGAAAGUGUGGGGAUCAAACAGGAUUAGAUACCCUGGUAGUCCACACUGUAAACGAUGAUAACUCGCUGUCGGCGAUACACAGUCGGUGGCCAAGCGAAAGCAUUAAGUUAUCCACCUGGGGAGUACGACCGCAAGGUUGAAACUCAAAGGAAUUGACGGGGGCCCGCACAAGCGGAGGAACAUGUGGUUUAAUUCGAUGAUACGCGAGGAACCUUACCCGGGCUCGAACGGUGCAUGAAUAUACGAGAGAUUGUAUAGUCCUUCGGGACAUGUAUCGAGGUGCUGCAUGGUUGUCGUCAGCUCGUGCCGUGAGGUGUCGGCUUAAGUGCCAUAACGAGCGCAACCCUCGUCAUUAGUUGCCAUCAGGUCAAGCUGGGGACUUUAAUGAGACUGCCACCGUAAGGUGUGAGGAAGGGGGGAGGACGUCAAAUCAGCACGGCCCUUAUGUCCGGGGCGACACACGUGUUACAAUGGGAGGUACAGAGGGCAGCUAUCCGGUGACGGAAUGCUAAUCUCCAAAACCUUUCUCAGUUCGGAUUGGAGUCUGCAACUCGACUCCAUGAAGGUGGAUUCGCUAGUAAUCGCGCAUCAGCCAUGGCGCGGUGAAUAAGUUCCCGGGCCUUGUACUCACCGCCCGUCA
rnacentral:rRNA from 1 species